CUAUGGCAGGAGGACACACCUGUACGCAGGGGCGGCAGGCGGGGCCCAGGUGAGGAGCCUGCGCUGCGCUGCCCGCCGGUGGAGAAGGAAGAAGGAAGAGUGGAGCCAGGGCGGCGGUUGAAUCCUGGGCCUGACGCCCCUUCCUCUCCUCCGCACUCACUCUCUGGGGGUCAGGUGGCCUGGUGACAGGGUGAGCAGGGCCCAGGCCUGCCAGUCCUGUACUGCCCUGACCAGAGCCCGUGCGCCCCCUGCCGGCAAAGACGAAGAAAGACGCAGAGUGUUAUGUGAGAACGCGCAGGCGCACUCCCCCCUCCCCCAGCCAGGCCCAUGGAGCCUUGACUUUUGCUUCAGUAAUAAAAAUUUAUUGAGAAUUCCUGGGAUGGUGGUUAUUGCCUCCCAACCUUGAGAGAGGAGCCAACGCUGCAGGAAAUCACUGAGAAAUCACACACUGUCCCAACAACCCUGCCAACGCAGGGAGGAGGAAAGUCAUCCCGACCAUGGGUCAGUCUUCAUCUGAGAAGGGGGGGAGGACAGGUACAGAGGGGACCAUCACAUGAUACUGGGGGCAGGGUGGGGGUGUGCUGGACCCCAAGCCGGCUCCUCAAACACCAGGGCAGAAACAGAUCCACUUCUCCGCUGGGGGUGGAGUUCUUGGUCAGCAGGUUCACUUCUUAGUCUUGAGGAGGCUGUCA